UUGCAGGUUCAAGUUACAAUAUGGCUGUGACAGUGCCCAUAUUGUCGUUCCCCCUGCUCAAAGCAAAAUGUUUCAUACUAUCCCUGUCUUAACUGAUAACAUAGUAAGACAGGGACGCUUGGUCUCAAACAA